rnacentral:rRNA from 1 species
GUGCCAGCCGCCGCGGUAAUACAGAGGGUGCAAGCGUUGUUCGGAAUUAUUGGGCGUAAAGCGCGUGUAGGCGGCUUAGUAAGUUGGGUGUGAAAGCCCUCGGCUUAACCGAGGAAGUGCGCCCAAAACUGCUUCGCUUGAGUGCCGGAGAGGGUGGCGGAAUUCCCGGUGUAGAGGUGAAAUUCGUAGAUAUCGGGAGGAACACCAGCGGCGAAGGCGGCCACCUGGACGGUAACUGACGCUGAGACGCGAAAGCGUGGGGAGCAAACAGGAUUAGAUACCCCCGUAGUCC